rnacentral:rRNA from 1 species
UACGAACGGGGCUAGCGUUGUUCGGAAUCACUGGGCGUAAAGCGCACGCAGGCGGAUCGAUAAGUCGGGGGUGAAAGGCCGGGGCUCAACCUCGGAAUUGACUUCGAUACUGUCGGUCUCGAGUCCGGGAGAGGUGAGUGGAAUUCCUAGUGUAGAGGUGAAAUUCGUAGAUAUUAGGAAGAACACCAGUGGCAAAGGCGGCUCACUGGCCCGGUACUGACGCUCAGGUGCGAAAGCGUGGGGAGCAAACAGG